ACUCAUAAGAAUAUGUACAAAAAUAUCAGGAAAAAACCUUACAAACAUUAACAGUUUUUUCAUGUACCAUUUUCCUGGUUAAACAUGUCAGUUUUGACAAAAUACAUAGCCUUCAUGCAUGUUGUCUCCCUUAUCGGUUAAUUUAAUUCGAUUGCUUCUGUCUCAAAGAAAAUGUCUUGCCAGAAAUAAGGUUAUAAGUAGCAUGUGCUCUUUGAAGAAGGAUGGAUAAAGAUAAAACAAGCUUUAUAUAUCUUAUAUAAAUAUUCCAUUGAAAUAUUUCCAUAUA
rnacentral:lncRNA from 1 species